UGUGUCUGUUUUACCCAUCUGCUGCUGAUAACUCGGUCUGUUUUUGUUAUUUCUACCUGGAGUCACCUCCAAAUUCUGACCUGCUUCCGGUCUACAAAGAAUAAAUCACACAGAAAGCCGAGAUUUAUGAGAAAUGGAAGAAAACAGCACUUUUUUUUGUUCUAAUUCCGAGGAGGCAAUGUGGUUAUUUUUCUUAUAUAGUUGAAGAAAAGCGGAGGAGGGGAAGGGUUGGUGGGUUGUUAGGUGAGAGAAGGGUGACGUCAGGUCCCAUCACGCUGACAGACCUCCUAUUGGUUCAGUGGAGGCUUUUAAAAGGUGCAGCCAGCAGCGCACCGGAGGCUUGAUCUCUGUGCUCAGGACGCGGAGCGGCUCUCCGUGCGCUCCAACCCGGAACGGAGCUCCGGACCGACCGGAGCCAGAUGUUGGUGAGGACGCGGCGCGGACCGGACUUUUCAUAUCAACAGGUCGACACGCGAGAGAGAGAGAGGGGAAAGCGUUUCCUCGUCCACCUGCACGCUGUGAGUAACUGUUAGCAUGUCGGCCAUCUGCCGCCUUGUCAUGUUGUUUUUUGUUGUUUUUUUUUAAUUCUCCGCACAUUGCAUUGUGAAGUGCUAGAAGUCAGCCUACGUGUGUUUAUUUCUUUCCGAAUGUGAGACCUUCCUUUGCAAGUUUCCUCAAUUGUGGAGUCUGUUACGAGUCUGCAUGCAGGUGUGAAACCUGCAUGCCCCGACUGCUUCAUUAGACGUACCACUUCGGCUGGUUUGUGUGAUUUUCCUCCUUUUUUUUGUUUGCUGUCUCUAAAGUGAGAGUGUGUGUGUGUGACAAACUCCUUCAAGCAUGAUGUGUGUGUCUUCAUGAGUUUCUGCGUCUGCCUGUAUACGUGUGUUUAUAAUCCAAGGCCAUUCAAUAGCGCCACAUGGAUCCAUCCCAUAUCCUGGUCGCCAUGGUAACCGAGGCCACUUAUCACAGAGGGUCCAGGCAGAUCAAACAGGUGUGCAUCUCUGCUCGACAACUGUUGCUAGGAACCUUUGUUGCGCAAAACGCACAGGUGCUUGUCGCCACCGGUGGAAACCAGCAGGAGCGCAAAAACAUUGUCUUGAUGUCCCAGUCUGAACUGGUGUGUGCGUGAGUGUGUGUGUGUGUACACAAAGUCUUUGUUCGAAACAGUUUGGCUUCUUCCGAGAGGAUAUUUUUUCUUAAUAUCAUGUCACUCUGUGGGUCAUCAAGUUAUCAUCUAGGUUAAAGGCCAAAUAUGACCAGGGUUGAAGUUAAAAUGUUAGACGUUCUCCACUUUUGCUCCUUUAAACUAAACUCUGAAAAUGUGAUUUUAAAAAUCCACAAAGGCAGUACAGCUUUCAAUAAAAGUGAAAGGAUUUUAAAAGAGCCAUACAGGAGCAUGUGAAUCAAACUUUGUGGUUUGUUCACAUCUGUGAUCGUUUGUACCUCCAGCCAGAUGGUUUGUGAUUUUUAGGGCGUUUUCACAUCUGAUAAUCCAGUAAACUUGGUUCAACUGGGGAACAAAACUGCAAACAUUUGUUGAUGUUGCAAUUUUGCUUCAUUUGUUAAAUUUCCAGAUUUUGUAGUUCUCUUUCACACUGCGUUUGAAAAUCCUGUUCCUCCCCUCACCUGCGGUGGCGCUGCACCAAUAACCACUGAAGGAAACAACAUGAAAAACUCAGAAGAA